UACCCGCAGCACAAGUGGUGGUCAUUAUUAUUGGGCCUAAAGCGUCCGUAGCUGGCUUGUUAGAUGCCUGGGUAAAUCGAUGCGCUCAACGCAUCGAACUCCGGGUAGACCGGCAAGCUUGGGACCGGGAGAGGCGUGAGCUACUCGAGGGGUAGGGGUAAAAUCCUGUAAUCCUUCGGGGAGGACCAGUGGCGAAGGCGGCUCCCUGGACAAUUGCUGACACUCAGGCACGAAAGCGUGGGGAGCAAAAGGG
rnacentral:rRNA from 1 species